rnacentral:rRNA from 1 species
CAGUCGCCGCGGUAAUACGAAGGGUGCAAGCGUUAAUCGGAAUUACUGGGCGUAAAGCGUGCGCAGGCGGUUGUGUAAGACAGGUGUGAAAUCCCCGGGCUUAACCUGGGAACUGCGCUUGUGACUGCACAGCUAGAGUAUGGCAGAGGGGGGUGGAAUUCCACGUGUAGCAGUGAAAUGCGUAGAGAUGUGGAGGAACACCGAUGGCGAAGGCAGCCCCCUGGGCCAAUACUGACGCUCAUGCACGAAAGCGUGGGGAGCAAACAGGAUUAGAUACCCCCGUAGUCCCUGUCUCUUAUAA